GCCUAGGUAGCUUAGUUGGUAGUGCGUCUGCCUUGUAAGCGCUAGGCCGCGGGUUCGAUUCCCGCCCGGGGCG
rfam:Asian citrus Psyllid, Diaphorina citri - Florida Strain, whole genome shotgun sequence.